rnacentral:tRNA from 1 species
GGACAGAUGGCCGAGUGGUUUAAGGCGCACGCCUGGAACGCGUGUAUACCUUCACGGGUAUCGAGAGUUCGAAUCUCUCUCUGUCCGCCA